AUUAGUGUUACUAAAUAAUUAUUCAAGAAUAUUAGUGUUACUAAAUAAUUAUUUCAGUUUUUUUGAAUUUUGGUCAAAUCUGGUCAAACUGUGAUCAAACAAUGGUCAAACUAAUCCUGGGUCGACAGGCCUCUUCUUUCCGCGCCUGCAUGCGGACGUGCAUAAGAGUACGUACGCACACAUGUAGCCACUAGUAGAAAACAUGCCUUUGGUUCGGCUAGAAAAGAGCAUUAAUCCCGGUUGCAUUACGAACCGAGACUAAUGUGAGCAUUAGUCCCGGUUCGAGCGGCUAGGGCACCGUACAGGCAUUAGUCCCGGUUGGUGCCACGAACCGGUACUAAAGGUUAGACCUUUAGUCCCGGUUCGAGCCACCAACCGGUACUACUGGGGUUUGAGGCAUUAGUACCGGUUCGUGGCACGAACCGGUACUAAAGGUCCCAUUUUCAAACUCUACCCCCCCGAUCGCCUUUUCAGUUUUGUAAAAAGCAAAAGAAAAUGAUAAAAACUUCAAAAAUUAAAAUCCUUCCAGAUGUAGUUAUGUUACUACAUGUACUAUUUAGGAAAAUUUAAAAACUUAAAUUUGGACAUGUUUUGCAAAAAGUGAGGAAAAAUGUAAAACGGCUAUAACUUUUGCAUACUAUGUCGGAAAAAAACGUAUAAUAUAUCAAAAUGUUCAGCCUGAAAAUCCGCAUCCGAUUUUGACAGCCUACAGCUUGUUUGCAAAUUUUUAGAAUCCUCAAAUUCUAAAAGGUAAAAAAGUUAUGCUCAAAUUUCUGUUUUUUUUUGAAUUUUUGUUAAAUCUGGUCAAACUAUGGUCAAACUACUUAUUCAAGAAGUAUUAGUGUUACUAAAUAAUUAUUCAAGAAUAUUAGUGUUACUAUAUAAUUAUUUCAGUUUUUUUGAAUUUUGGUCAAAUCUGGUCAAACUGUGAUCAAACAAUGGUCAAACUAAUUAUUCAAGAAAUAUUAGUGUUAUUAAAUAAUUAUUUCAGUUUUUUUGAAUUUUGGUCAAAUCUGGUCAAACUAUGGUCAAACUACUUAUUCAAGAAAUAUUAGUGUUACUAAAUAAUUAUUGUUUUUUAGAACAAUAGUUUCAAACUCAAACAGUGAAAUGAGUGACUUCAUGCUCAAGCUAAAUUCCUGAGGGUUAAUAGGAUUGACAUCUUACUAUUGUCAGGAAAACAACAAGUGCAGACUUGGAAACGAGGGAGAAUAUAACCCGGAAGUUAAGCGUGCUCAGGCUGGAGUAGUGAGAGGAUGGGUGACCGUCCGGGAAGCUAGAUGAUUUGGAAUGAUGAGGGAUGAUUAGAGAUUAGAGGUUAAAUUGAGCAGUGAUGAGGGGUGAUUAGAGAUUAGAGG
rnacentral:lncRNA from 1 species